GUUGCAUACCAUGAAUAUAUACAAGUUUUACCUGUGAAUUUAAAAAGGAAAUAGAAAAUACUUACCUAAUAAAAUCAUUCUGGGGAAUAAAUGAGAUAAUGUAUGGAAAACGCUCGAGACACAAUACAUACCAAAUAUGUCUUUAAAUCAAUUUUUUCUCCAAUUUAAGCACCUAUUCCUUUUAUUGUUCCAGAAGCCAGAAUUAUUGAAACAGUAGACUGAAAAUUCACUCAGGAAUCAAAUUCUUAUGAGAUUUUGUGAGAUAACAUGUGAGAUAACUGGAAAGAAAAAGCCAAAUUAAAGGGCUCAGCAAUUCAUCAUUUGGUUUCAUUAGUUCCUGAGCCUAAUUUCCUUUCAGUUUCUCACAAGAAUUUUUGAAGACUCAUGGUUGAACCUUAUUUUUUAUGCCUAAAUUGAUUAAAACUUCUAGCUUCUUUUACAGACUUUAGUCCAGUUCUCAUUUCUGUGAAUAAGCGGGACCUUCAGUACAGCAGAAAGAGCAGACCUCUCUUAGCUCCAUGCAUAAAUUAUGAUGUCUGCUGUUAGCAAUACUCUCUGUGACAUCAGCAGCAGAGUCAGCUAACGGUUGCUGGGAGAUGCCAGUCCAGAACUCUACUGUAGAUGGACAUAGAUUCCUGUGACUUGGUAAACCAUCUGGAUUUCUUACAUUUAGGGUGAAUCUAAUUAUCUGUUUGUUCCUCUGGAGAAUGAAAAGCAUCUUCCCAACAAAACUAAGAGAGAUGGAGUCUUUCCUCUUGGAUGAUAUCAGCUCUGUGAUACAGAACAAAGACAUUGAGAGGGUCAUCUCACCAAUGAUCGUUCAGCUUUGCCAUCUACUCAUCUCAACGGAGAGGAAAGAUGUGGGGAAUGAAGUAUUUUCCUCGUUGGAGAAGAUGGCUGAGGAAUUGGCUAAAGCUAGUGAAGACUUUGUGCAAGUUGCCAAAAGGCUUGCAGGAGACUCUGAGGAGGAGUGGCUCAGGGAGGAAAUGGAGCCUGCUGCCCAGUCUCUGACACUGUCUGGAAGGCACAUCAUGCUGGUGGCUCAGAGACUCCAUCUUCAGCCAGAAUGUCAGCACUACCAGGAGGAGCUAGUGACCACAGCUCAGCAGAUCCUAGUGAACACCACGAAGGUCUUGCUCCUUGAAGACGCGGCGAUGGCGAGAAAGACGGUGCGGGCUGCUGGUUGGUGCCUGACCUGCCUGGACGCGCUGGAGGCGGCGGGAGACGCGGCCUCGCAGCGCGGCACCUUCGCCGACCUGGCCACUGCGCUGCUGCGCCUGGGGGACCUGGCAGCGCUCAGGCCAGAGGAGCGCCUGAGCCGCGCGGGCUGCCUGCUUCGGGCCUACAUCCCCGCGCUGAUCGCGGCAGUCCGCGGCCGCCUCCAGCAUCCACGCGAUCCGCAGCUGGGCGCGUCCCCGCGCCGGGUUUGCGCUCUGGCCAGGAAAGCCCUCGGCGAGCUCCUGGUGCGACUGGAUCCCGGCGCCGCGGCCCCGGCGACCAGCGUGUGGAACGGCGCGCUAGCCCGGCCCCUGAGGCAACUGCAGGAGCUGCUGGUGGCGCCUGUGUCCGAGCCCCUGCACCUCAGCCCGCUGGACCCCCCGCUGGCCGCCGUGGUCUGGCACUGCAUGCGCCUGGCAGCCUGCUCUGCGCCGCCGGAAAGGCUGCACCUGGUGGACCGCGUCGGCCGGCUGCUACAGCUGCGGAGCUCUGGUGCCCGGCGCCUCGCGGGGAUCGGCGGACCUCCCGGGAGAGGCCGGGUAAGGUCGGAGCCAGGGCAGGAGCGCGCGGCGCUGCGGGCCGCGAUCGAGGCCCUCUCCCAGGGGUUCUGCACUGGGCUACUGCACCAGAUCCUGGACACCUUCACAGACACGAAAAGUCCUCUCUUAAGGCUGGUACAGGCGGCGGUGGCGACUUCCGCAGACAGCUCCCCUUACGAUGGCGAGGCCUUGCCGAAGAGCCUUCAGCUUUGCCUUGCUACUUUCCAUGACCGGGCCAAACAGAUGCUCAGAGUGGCUCACUUGGCCUUGGUUUGCUGCCCUCAACAAGAAACUGGCAGAGACAUGGAGGCCGCCAUGGCAAGCAUUUGGGGACUUGUGGUGAGAGUGCAACAGCUUUUCUCAGGAAGCCCCCAAGGGUCUGGCCGGGACUGGAGCCCUGCCAUCCUGCAGGCCCUGCUUCAGGCCUGGGCCAGGGAAUCUGAACACCUGUUGGCAUGUUUUGAUGACGUCCUCAAUAUUCCUGAGUUCCUGAAUGUAUCCAUUCAGGAAAUGUCCAAGCAUUUGGACUUCUUUACGUGGGCUUUGGAGAGUGGAGAUUCCAGUGAGUCUUUUCGAUGUGUGGCAUAUCUACAGGGCCGGGCCACACACAUAGUGCAGGUAAUGAGCAGGUAUGUGGGCCAAGAACGAGAUCCCAUUUUCCGGAAUGGCCUGAGAGUCUUGAUCCAGCAAGUAGAGCAAUCUUCAUUGGUCUUGGGUGUAGCUGCUGAGCACUGUUCACGUGAAUAUGGAUCUCCGGACACUGAUGCAUUUUUAACCAUGGCAAAACAUCUGAUCUAUUCAGCUCAGAGCCUCAAAGAGGGGCUGGCUGGGACUAACCACCCAGAUAUCCUCAGCCCCCUUCGGAACCAAGUCCACAGGUUUGACGUUGCUAAGAGAGAACCUUAUUUCAUUCUCCCCAGCUUCCAGAGCUCUGCAGUGCCUGAACUGAAAUAUCAGAGAGUGCCUGGGUUAGAGGAAAAUGACCCAGGUACCUCCUAUCCACCAAUGGACCAUUCUCCACACCCUUUGAUUCCUGAUACCUGUACAAAGAGGAGGGGCUCUCCACCCCCUGCCAUCAGGAAACUCAUCCUUGCUGUAGAGAGCCGUGACCACCAUGCAGUGGCCUCAGCUUGUACCGACCUGCUAGAGCAUGAUGCCGCUGUCAGUGCAGCCCAAGAGGCCCUGGCUGGAGACGGGUCACUGGGGCCAGAGAGGAUGUUGGGACUUCAAGGUAUCUCGACACUGGCACCUCCUAUUAUUGGCCUACCAAAAGAGAUAGCACAUUGCACAACUGCUAGAACUGAUAGGCUCCUGGAAGUGGCUCUCCAGCUGUCUGGCAAGACGAGGGAAACCAGGCAGGAUUUGGUAGCCAUGGCUGGUGACUGGUACUGUCUGUGUCAACAACUGUUUUGCCACAACCCAACAGCUGAUCUGCCACAAAGUACAGCAGUGUUCCUGGAGCUUCAGCAGAAUUUAGCCUCAGUGGUUCAACUAGCAGCUAAAAGUGGGCCCAUGGAUUUGGAUAAAAAUGACCUUGAUUCAACUCAGCGUCCAGAAGUGCUUUUACAAAUGCAAGCUAGAUUGGAGGAGGCAGACACCUAUGCUAAACAGUUGUUUGACAAGGUUUUGACCUUUGAUGGUCUCCAAGCCCCCAAGUCAUGGGAAGAGAGCAUUGAGGAUGGGUGCCUUCUAUGGUCAGUGGCUGUCCAAAACCUGCUCCAGUACAUGGAGCAGCUCAGUGGGAAAAAAGGCAUGUUCCUACUGCCCCUGCGGCUGGCAAUGAAAAACCAGCAGGGAUUGCAGGAAGGGUUGGAUCAGGCAGCAGAUGUUUCUCAGAGGCUACAAGAGGCUGCCAGCCUAUCCAGCCUACUGUGUGGGGAUGAGCAGGAAAAGGGCAAGGUGUCCUUUCUGUGCAGGGAAGUUCAUGUACUCACAGAUGCUCUGCUGGAUGUGGCACAGAUCCUGGCCUCCUCCCCCAAACCAUCUCCCAGCUUGUCCACACGCUUUGAACUUCUCUGUCUGGAGCUCACCCUUCAAACCAAGGCCUUGAUUAGCCACCUCAGCACCAUCAAUGCAGACUAUGAAUGUGCCUUCCAAGAUGUUGUCUGCCCAAGGCUCUCUGUCUGUAAGGACCCCCAGACCAGACCAGAAAGCUCUCUGGAAAGAAUGGUGUCUGGUAUCCAAGCUGUACAAGGAAUUGUGGUAGAAGGUCAGGAAUAUGGACCCUGCCAGGAAGACCUUGUUAUGGCUCUGGAGAACAUUCUCACCCUCACCAAGGAGGUGGCCCAGAGGAUCCCUGUGCUCCAAGAACACCCAGAGGAGUGGGGAAUGCACAUCCCAGACUGGCUUCAAUGGGAGUGGGCAGCCAAGGCUCACCAUGCUGUGGCCCAGCUGCAGGCCUGGAAAGGUGGUCACACUAAGGCCUGGAGACAUCUGGCCCAGUGCUUGAAACCUGGGGAGGAGCCAAGAAGGGCCCCAGAACAGGAUCCUAUCCAACCCCUGUUCCUCUGUGAAGAGGAUGUGGCAGGAUCGACUGCAGUGGGCAGUGUGGAUUCUCAGAGUGCUGCCCCCAGAACUCCUCUAGGGAGCUCACUGAGGACCUGUAUUGCUGGGACAACCACAGUGGACCUGGGCAUGCAGCAAAGCAGCCGCCAAUCCCCGUCCUCUGGCUCCUCAGCCACAGCAGCGCUGCCCACUGAGCUGAACCAGCCCCUCCCAGAGGACAGCAGCACGAACGGGGAGAGCAGAAUCACCCGGAUCACUCGUGCAAUGGCCACGGAGGUGUUCCUGAUGGCUCAGAGUCUGAGGAGGAGAGGAUGCAUCCUGACCAAAGAUCAGCUCAUUGCCUCUGCCAGGAAAAUUGCGUCUUCUGGACAAAACUUUGCCAGACUCAUCUGCAUCAUUGCUAAGAACUGCAUAGACCAAAGAUGUUCCCAGGAGCUUUUGUGUGUGGUGGAGCAGAUUCAAACACUGAGCAACCAGCUCCACAUCAUCUCCAGUGUAAAGGCCUCCCUGGCAAGAAGCAAGUCCUCUGAAGAGCUCCUAGUGGAAAAUGCACAGCAGCUCCUCCAGGCUGUCUUCAAGACCAUGAGGGCCACAGAAGCUGCGAGUCUCCGGGGUUUGAGAGAACCUUCCCCAGAUCCAGAGGAAUUGGAAGUUAUUGCCUUCUGCCUGCAGUGGAGGAGGAAGCUGCUAAGGCACAGACUUCAGGAAACCUCAAACAUGGAUUGUGAUGAGCUGGGCCUGCGGAAAACAAGCACUAAAACUCCCCCAACACUCGCUGCCUGGGUUCAGGAAGCAUUAUAA
ensembl:lncRNA